UACAGAGGUCUCAAGCGUUGUUCGGAUUCAUUGGGCGUAAAGGGUGUGUAGGUGGCGCCGUAAGUCGGGUGUGAAAUUUCGGAGCUUAACUCCGAAACUGCAUUCGAUACUGCGGUGCUUGAGGACUGGAGAGGAGACUGGAAUUCAUGGUGUAGCAGUGAAAUGCGUAGAGAUCAUGAGGAAGACCAGUGGCGAAGGCGGGUCUCUGGGCCGAAUACUGACGCUGAGGAGCGAAAGCGUGGGGAGCGAACAGG
rnacentral:rRNA from 1 species